rnacentral:rRNA from 1 species
GGGCGAAUGAGUAUUUGGUCGUAGACCCGAAACCAGGUGAUCUACCCUUGGUCAGGUUGAAGUUCAGGUAACACUGAAUGGAGGACCGAACCGACUUACGUUGAAAAGUGAGCGGAUGAACUGAGGGUAGCGGAGAAAUUCCAAUCGAACUUGGAGAUAGCUGGUUCUCUCCGAAAUAGCUUUAGGGCUAGCCUCAAGUGAUGAUUAUUGGAGGUAGAGCACUGUUUGGACGAGGGGCCCCUCUCGGGUUACCGAAUUCAGACAAACUCCGAAUGCCAAAUAAUUUAACUUGGGAGUCAGAAUGUGGGUGAUAAGGUCCAUAUUCGAAAGGGAAACAGCCCAGACCACCAGCUAAGGUCCCAAAAUAUAUGUUAAGUGGAAAAGGAUGUGGCGUUGCCCAGACAACUAGGAUGUUGGCUUAGAAGCAGCCAUCAUUUAAAGAGUGCGUAAUAGCUCACUAGUCGAGUGACACUGCGCCGAAAAUGUACCGGGGCUAAACAUAUUACCGAAGCUGUGGAUUGUCCUUUGGACAAUGGUAGGAGAGCGUUCUAAGGGCGUUGAAGCAUGAUCGCAAGGACAUGUGGAGCGCUUAGAAGUGAGAAUGCCGGUGUGAGUAGCGAAAGACGGGUGAGAAUCCCGUCCACCGAUUGACUAAGGUUUCCAGAGGAAGGCUCGUCCGCUCUGGGUUAGUCGGGUCCUAAGCUGAGGCCGACAGGCGUAGGCGAUGGAUAACAGGUUGAUAUUCCUGUACCACCAUUAUUCGUUUUAAGCGAUGGGGGGACGCAGUAGGAUAGGCGAAGCGUGCUGUUGGAGUGCACGUCCAAGCAGUGAGAUUGAGUGUUAGGCAAAUCCGGCACUCUUAAGAUUGAGCUGUGAUGGGGAGAGGAACUUGUUCCUCGAGUCGUUGAUUUCACACUGCCGAGAAAAGCCUCUAGCUAGAAUAACGGUGCCCGUACCGCAAACCGACACAGGUAGUCAAGAUGAGAAUUCUAAGGUGAGCGAGCGAACUCUCGUUAAGGAACUCGGCAAAAUGACCCCGUAACUUCGGGAGAAGGGGUGCUCUUUGAGGUUCACGCUUCGAAGAGCCGCAGUGAAUAGGCCCAAGCGACUGUUUAUCAAAAACACAGGUCUCUGCUAAACCGUAAGGUGACGUAUAGGGGCUGACGCCUGCCCGGUGCUGGAAGGUUAAGAGGAGUGGUUAGCGCAAGCGAAGCUACGAAUCGAAGCCCCAGUAAACGGCGGCCGUAACUAUAACGGUCCUAAGGUAGCGAAAUUCCUUGUCGGGUAAGUUCCGACCCGCACGAAAGGCGUAACGAUUUGGGCACUGUCUCAACGAGAGACUCGGUGAAAUCAUAGUACCGGUGAAGAUGCCGGUUACCCGCGACAGGACGGAAAGACCCCGUGGAGCUUUACUGUAGCCUGAUAUUGAAAUUCGGUACAGUUUGUACAGGAUAGGUAGGAGCCUUAGAAGCGUGAGCGCUAGCUUACGUGGAGGCAUUGGUGGGAUACUACCCUAAUUGUAUUGGAUUUCUAACCCGCAGCACUUAUCGUGCUGGGAGACAGUGUCAGGCGGGCAGUUUGACUGGGGCGGUCGCCUCCUAAAGAGUAACGGAGGCGCUCAAAGGUUCCCUCAGAAUGGUUGGAAAUCAUUCAUAGAGUGUAAAGGCAUAAGGGAGCUUGACUGCGAGACCUACAAGUCGAGCAGGGUCGAAAGACGGACUUAGUGAUCCGGUGGUUCCGCAUGGAAGGGCCAUCGCUCAACGGAUAAAAGCUACCCCGGGGAUAACAGGCUUAUCUCCCCCAAGAGUUCACAUCGACGGGGAGGUUUGGCACCUCGAUGUCGGCUCAUCGCAUCCUGGGGCUGUAGUCGGUCCCAAGGGUUGGGCUGUUCGCCCAUUAAAGCGGUACGCGAGCUGGGUUCAGAACGUCGUGAGACAGUUCGGUCCCUAUCCGUCGUGGGCGUAGGAAAUUUGAGAGGAGCUGUCCUUAGUACGAGAGGACCGGGAUGGACAUACCUCUGGUGUACCAGUUGUCGUGCCAACGGCAUAGCUGGGUAGCUAUGUAUGGACGGGAUAAGUGCUGAAAGCAUCUAAGCAUGAAGCCCCCCUCGAGAUGAGAUUUCCCAACUUC